rnacentral:lncRNA from 1 species
GCAGCUCUUCAUGUUUUCCAUAUUCAGUAAUUUUUCCUUGGUCAAGAACAGCAACCAUAUUAGCAUUCUUAAUGGUGGACAGACGAUGGGCAAUAACUAACACCGUUCUUCCAUCCAUCAGUCGAUCUAGAGCUUCUUGAACAAGGUACUCAUUUUCGGCAUCCAGCGCACUGAAGAUAUCCUCACCUGGUUGCUUCAUCUAGGAGAAGAAUUUUGGGAUUCUGAAG